AUGUCACCAGUGUUGUAGUGACAACCAGUGCCCUAGUUUCUCUCAGUCUGAGUCUGGCGGUUACACCCUAAGACAUGUUUUCCCGUCUUCGCAAGAGUUUUGGGAGGGGGAACAUCGAUUGUGGAGAGACUAGAGUGAAGGAGUCUGGCCUUUCGUCUCAAAGUAAUGAUGGACAAAGACAGCACUUCUGGGGAAUGUGGAGUUCACUUGUGUCCUUCUACCUACAGAGGCUGGGAGAGAAACACCAUCCCCUGGAACUGAGCUAAGCAAGAAGCAGGCCGAGAAGGAAAAUAAGAGGUGGAUUUAAGAGCUGCAGCUCAUUACAGAGGAGCGAAACGACCUGAGAGAUCGCCUGAGGUUUCUGACAGAGAGAUCCAUGAAGAACAGGCCACACUUCAGGCCAAAUCCAUAUUAUGAAGACCUGGAGAGAAUGGAGGAGGCGGUCAUGUCAAUUCUGCACAACUUAGAGAUGGAGAACACUGAGAUCCAUGAGAACAGCCAUAAGCUGAAAAAGGAGAUGACCUUCUCUAGGUCUCAGAAAGUGCAAGACUGCUGGAAUUGGACACGGACCAGGAAGAGGACUCCUGAAGAAUAAGUUGCUUCCUCAGGAGUCCCCUGCUGACAAACAUCCUGACUAUUAACAACAUGUUUUGGAUGAAUAUUCUUCCUCAUAGUUAAUUUGUCAUUGCUUAGAGACCUUAAAUUUAUAUAUCACUAAGCCAGCCUGACUGAUUGAGGUCUUACUCACUUUCUUCUUUAGAAAUCACCACUUGAGAGACAACUUGGGGGACCGCCUUUCAUUAUGCUAGAGGAGAAAGAGCAAUACAUCUGUGCUUCUAAAUGUUCGUUAAGAAUAUGAUGUUUAGAAAUAUUUUGUUAUGAUUUUCAUUGAAGUUUUCUAUUUGUUGUUUCAUAGUUAUAUGCUCUUGUUAUUAUUUUUCAUUUUUAAAUACUUUUAAAUAUUUAUAUUAAUUCGUUUUAAUCCUGUUUUGUUGUAAAUUGUAUUUCUUAUCAAUAAAAAUUGAUUUUAAUCUCUUGACUCUUAAGACCAUCAUUCUUAUUCAAGGGUUCUUUCUGCUCCUGUGGACUUAGAACUGACAGCUGGAGAUGGAUCUCUGCAUGUUCCAGGGAGCCUUGGCUAAAUAGUGAAUUCAAAGCCAGCAAGGGGUACCCAGUGUGAAGUGUCUUCUGUGUGGAUAAUGUGGCUGUCUCUCAGAUGCACACUUUACUAUGUAAUCACUGCCAUACUUUACCCAUACUGUCAUGUGUUCUGCUCACCUUAACAUAUAACAGUCUGCAGCUCACAUUCAUUGUUGACCCUGUGCCCCACAUAUUGAGUAAUAUACACUCAUUGCUGUACAGCUACAGAAAAAUUGACAACAUUCUCAAAGGAAUACAGAAGUCAUCCUAAUGGAGAACCAUGUGCUUCAGCUUUUCUUGCAAUACAGCAUCGAUAUUUACCCCAGAGAUUAUGACCUUCAAUGUCAUGCUGGGAAACAGGU